CAUGCAAGUCGAACGGGUCCGGUCUUCGGAUCGGGCCAGUGGCGGAAGGGUGAGUAAAGCGACGGUAACCAACCCCAUGGUCGGGUAUAGCCGCGGGAAACUGCGGGUAAUACCCAGCGACGUCGGGAGUCGGCAUCGGCUCCCGACCAAAGGUGCGAAUCCGCCGGGGGACGGGCCGUCGUGGUAUCAGCUUGUUGGCGGGGUAACGGCCCACCAAGGCUGGGACGCCUACCGGGCGUGCGAGCGUGGCCCGGCACACUGGGACUGAGACACUGCCCAGACUCCUACGGGAGGCUGCAGUCGAGAAUUUUCGGCAAUGGGCGCAAGCCUGACCGAGCGACGCCGCGUGGAGGACGACGGCCUUCGGGUUGUAAACUCCUGUCGAGGGGGAACAAGGGGGCGUGGAGAACGCCCCUUGAGUGAUCCCUGGAGGAAGCACGGGCUAAGUUCGUGCCAGCAGCCGCGGUAAGACGAACCGUGCGAACGUUAUUCGGAAUCACUGGGCUUAAAGCGCGUGUAGGCGGCCCGGCACGUCAUCGGCUGAAAUCCCCCGGCUCAACCGGGGAAGGGGCCAUGAUACGACCGGGCUGGAGGCCGGUAGGGGGCGCCGGAACUCACGGUGGAGCGGUGAAAUGCGUUGAGAUCGUGAGGAACGCCCGUGGCGAAAGCGGGCGCCUGGACCGGGCCUGACGCUGAGACGCGAAAGCCAGGGGAGCGAACGGGAUUAGAUACCCCGGUAGUCCUGGCCGUAAACCAUGGGCACUGGGUAGGGGGCUCGCCGAUGGGCUCCCUGCCGUAGGGAAACCGUGAAGUGCCCCGCCUG
rnacentral:rRNA from 1 species